rnacentral:snRNA from 1 species
UUCAGCAGCACAAAGUUGAAAUACACUAAAAUUGGAAUAUUAGCAAUCCCUACACAAGGAUGGCAUGCAAAUUCAUGAAGUGUUUCAUAUUAAA